CAGGCGCAGAGGAAAAGCAGACAAGCUACCCGGGACCACCCACUGAGAAGAGAGAUUAGAGCAUAAAGCAAAAGGAUGCACUCAGCAGCUGGGCCUGAAGAAGGACAACAAAGUUUGCUAAGUCUUAGGAAGAAAACAGUCUGAUGGAAAAGAGAGUAGCUAAGGAAAACCACUUUAGACAGGUUGAUCAGAGAAGACCUCUCUGAGGAAGCAACAUUGAGCUAAGUCCUCUAUCACCCGAGUUAAGUUCUGUCUGAUCCAGGACAAGAACAAAGGAGACAAGUACAAAGUUCUGGAGCUGAGAAAAAAGUGAAAGUCCAGUGAGUAUGGGAGUAAUUUCUCCACUGAUCUCCAGUAGCAUAUUGGGCACCUACUGACCUGGCAGGAGUGGCGGCUGCCAUGGUGCAGGAGUGGCCGAAAGGAGCUACUCCACGUCCAAGGUCAGGGGCGAUGGUGAAGAGGAGCUACCCCAUGUCCAAGGUAAAGAGCAGUGGCUACACUUUGCUGGAGCAGCCGUGAAGAGAUACCUCACGUCCAAGGGGCCUAUGAUCUCCACUGGGGAAAGCUGGGGCUGCCAAGUAAGGCUAUGCAAGUUGUGUACACAAGUACUGAGGCAAGGAGGAAUAUGCGGAACUGGAGUCCAUCGGAUCCCCCUCACCCCAACAACCUUUGUGCCCUGGCUUGAGACUACAUCAUUUGGAAGAAAGGUCUUUUAGUAUUUCAACCACCUAGAAUGAGUGCCAUUUUGUAAUUUAUCCUCAGAGGGAAGCUUUUAUAAAUUCACAAAAAGGUGCUACAUGUGCUAGCAGUGACCACGAGGGAAGCUCAGUUUACCAACCUCUUAGCUGUUCAGUUGCAAACAUCCGCCAAGAUUUUGAAUCUUUGAACUCACUGAUGCAACUUCCCUGACCUAUGUCCCAUGCCCUUUGGGCUCUAUUUGGAGAUAAAAUCUGAAAAAUAAUUCUCACUAAAUAUUAAUUGUUAAUAUCAUAAUGUGUUUGUCUUUCUAGAAAGCAUUUGCACAUUUUAACUGAUGGCUCUGACUUGUUUCUAGAGUCACAGGAAACUAUGACAGGAAGUCUACCUACUUAAGGGCAGAGCUGGUCCCUCCAGCUCUUCUUUGUACUUCAACGAUAUACUUUAUACAUUCUUUAAAUUUGAUCCAGGGUCUAUGCACUCAAAAAAUGUGGAGGUUGUACAAAAUCAUUGGCUCAAGAUAUAAAAAAUGAAGAGGUCAAUAUCCGACUAUAUAGAAAGAGACUUUAAAAAUAUUUCAACUCAAAUCCGGAACACUUAUAACCUGUGUUACUUUAGUCAUGUCACCUCACUUACUUGAACAGUAUAGGAUUAUUUUGAAGGAUAAAUUAGACAUUUAAGACAAAAUAGCAGAAAAACAGCAUGCACACAAAUACAGUGUAUAAAAUUGGAAGCUGAAAAAUUCAUAGCUUUAUGGAUUUGGUACUACAUAUACUGCUAGCAUACAAAUAAGCCAAAGAUGAGUUCAUCAGAUUGGGUAAUUUUAAUAGAAAAAUGUAAUCAAUAACACAAGGGUAGUGACUUUUUAAAUUAGUCUUUGAAUUUAUUCAUAAUACUACCGUGUUUGAUGAAACAAACUGUGCUUACAUAAAAAUUAAAGAGUAUGGGCAUAGAUGUGUUUGAAACAUCACCAACCAUACCAGACUUACCAUGGCAAAAUAUUUCUUUAACAUUAGAAUUCCUUCUUGGCAUCUCCCCUCAUGGGACUUGUUCUUUCACUGGAAUUACUCAUUUUAAUUGAGAAUUAUAAAACCACAUAGGGGGUAUCAUCAUGCUGAGAUGAAAAUGACUGAAGUUUUUAUAGACUUCUUUUGUGUGGUAGCAUGAUGAUGGCAAGCUCUAGCUUAAUUUAAAAGAUAAAACAGUUCUAUUUCUUAAAUAUAGAAAACAGAUGAAAUAAUGUUUGCUUUUCACAGCCCAGGUCUAAAUAAUUAUAUUCCUAAUUUUCAUCUUCCACUAAAACAUUCACAGAAUCUUUCAUCAAUAAAGUGUACCAUUUCUUAACAUUAUUGUCACUGAUUUUUACACUGUUUCUAUUAACUUCAGGAAAACACACUCCCACUCAUACUUCCUAUGGGUGUCUUAAUAUCCUAAAAUUUUCCAUGAGUCCAUAGUCAACCCUGCCCUAUAAACAAAACAUAAAGUCAGUGAAAUGUGUAAAGGAAAAUGUUAGUGGUAUAACAAGAUCAGUUUGUAACAAAAUAUUUAAACUCAGACUGGGAAUUCCCUGGUGGCUCAGAUGGUAAAGUAUCUGCCUACAAUGAGGGAGACCCAGGUUCAAUCCCUGGGUUGGGAAGAUCCCCUGGAGAAGGCAAUGGCAACCCACUCCAGUACUUCUGCCUGCAAAAUCACAUGGACGGAGGAGCCUGGUAAGCUACAGUCCAUGAGACUGCAAAGAGUC
ensembl:lncRNA